UACGGGGGGAGCAAGCGUUGUUCGGAUUUACUGGGCGUAAAGGGCGCGUAGGCGGCCACCGCAAGUCGGUUGUGAAAUCUCCGGGCUUAACCCGGAAAGGUCAAUCGAUACUGCGGGGCUAGAGUGCAGAAGGGGCAACUGGAAUUCUCGGUGUAGCGGUGAAAUGCGUAGAUAUCUGAAGGAACAUCAGUGGCGAAAGCGACCUCCUGGACCAAUACUGACGCUCAUGUGCGAAAGCGUGGGGAGCAAACAGG
rnacentral:rRNA from 1 species